UUUUGGCAGAGAAGUGGCUCUUGGCUGGCAGCAUCUUGGCAUGGCUGCAGCUAUUGUCUGAGUUUGGUGGUGAGAGUCCUUGACUGGGAGAAGCUUAGUAACCUAGUUCAGUUCCUCAAGUCAGCCUUUUAAGCAUCUAACUCAGCAGUUUGAAACCCAGCUGCAAGAUCAGGGAAGGACUUGUAGGUACAGGAACAAGGGCCAAAGGAAGUCUCACAGACUGGCAGAAGUCCCAGUAGAGAUCAGCAGCAGCACACAGGAAUAAGAAGAGGAAUAAUGGUUUAACCCACACUCAACCACUCCUCAGUAGGUGAAUCUGUUUGAAGGAAGAUCACCAACUCCCUGUCUCCUCCAGAGAAGCAAACUGCCUGCCUGAACUGCCUUCUUGAAAAGCUAGCUGAUGGCUGUCCUUGCAGGAGCUUGGCCUCUGGCCAAGCUCCAUCUUUAAUCUUUCUCUAUUCAUCUCUCUGACCUGUGUGGUAUUAAAUAUGGAUCUCUGGACUGGUAAAAGCCUUCAGAAGGGUCCUUUGAUCAGAGCUUAGCUGUGGUUCAUUGAUAAUUAAUAAAGACUCAUUCUGACCACCUCAUAUCUCUAAUUUGACUCCGUCAUCCCCCUCAUGGUAUCUAAAACUUCUAUCCUGUCUCUAUCUUCCUACCUUGAGGCUUCUCUCCCCUCUGAGAGAGCUUCAUCAAGACCCAAGGUAAGGAUUAAAUAAUAAUAAUAAAUAAAUAAAUAGAAUAACAGAAUUGAGAUCCAAAUGUCCAACAGCUACCGGAAUAAAAGGUGAAGCAGUUACAAGAGAAGUUUGAUCUUUAGGCAAGCUUUUCCAGAAUGUGAGUGAAGGGAAGUUAUAGGGGUUAUAUUCACACAGCUUGGCAGAAUAUUAACUUUUGCCAGCUUGACUAAGUCUUAAAAAUAGAAUUAAGAUCAAUUUUCAAUUAUCUACCCUUAAGGAGAUUAUAUUUUAAAGCGGAGACAAAAUAUGGAAAUCAGAACAUGAAAGAUAAUAUGGAGUAGGAAAUUAUUUGCAUACAGAUAAGAAAUUAAUGUGACUGUUGAAUAAUUAAAUACAUUAUGUCAACAUGGAAUCUGGAAACCCCCAACUUGUAGCCUAGUAAGAUCUGAUGAACCCCAAGUUUUAGGACUAGCUUGUGUAAAGGAUAAUUUUAGCAUUGUGACCUAAACUAUAUUAAUUAUUUGGUUGCCAUGGAUAUCCCAAAUAUAAAAAAAAUACCCAAGUCAGCUGGAAAUUUAUGGUAAUUUAAUUAAUAUAGUGGAAAAAAAUUAAGAAUAAGGGAGAAGUAAAGGAUGUAGGAUUUCUCCUGCCUGACUAGUGCCAGGGGGAAGAUUAGAGGCUCUAGGAAGGUAAGGUUUUGGAGAAUAAAGGAGGAAGGAAUCAGCCUGAACACCAAGAGGGCUCAGCCAAGAUGCCUGAAUAGAGACUAAUAGAAUUAGAGAAUGCUAGGUAUUAGCAUUGGAAAAGAAAGAGAGAGACACCUGGCCAAAGGCCAGGCCUCAGGUAAAGAUAGAGAGGCAAGAGAAAGGUGGUGAUAACAAACCUGUAGCUCCUCCAAGAAGAAGAAGAAAGAGAGAGAGAGAAGAAGAGGAGGAGCUGGCCACAGCUUCCCAAUUUAUUCUCUUUGAUACGCAAAUGAACUCAAUACAUAUUGAUAAGUUACAUGAUGCCUCAAUACCUAUCGAUGAGUUACAUAGUGUAUUGCCAUUGGAUAAUUGCAAAUCGCGACAAGGUGAAGGGUAGAGUUUUUAUCUGCAGGUGAGUGAGACAAAAGGAAGCAGGGUUCAGCCACGCUGGGAACCGAGUUCAUUGCCAUGUGCAGAAUGGCCAUGUGCCCAUUCACAAACCUUGUCUCUUUAUAAUACCUAUGGGCUAGACUGCUACAACAGCUCUGUGUGGAAGCCUUGAGGAAAGCACUGAACCCCUUUCCUUAAGUAAAGAGGGA